rnacentral:rRNA from 1 species
GGGGGCUAGCGUUGCUCGGAAUCACUGGGCGUAAAGCGCACGUAGGCGGCUUUCUAAGUCAGGGGUGAAAUCCUGGAGCUCAACUCCAGAACUGCCUUUGAUACUGGAGAGCUUGAGUCCGGAAGAGGUGAGUGGAACUCCGAGUGUAGAGGUGAAAUUCGUAGAUAUUCGGAAGAACACCAGUGGCGAAGGCGGCUCACUGGUCCGGUACUGACGCUGAUGUGCGAAAGCGUGGGGAGCAAACAGG